UACGUAGGGUGCAAGCGUUGUCCGGAAUUAUUGGGCGUAAAGGGCUCGUAGGCGGUCCAUCGCGUCGGGAGUGAAAAGCUGGGGCUUAACCCCAGUCCUGCUUCCGAUACGGGUGGACUAGAGGUAGGUAGGGGAGAACGGAAUUCCUGGUGUAGCGGUGAAAUGCGCAGAUAUCAGGAGGAACACCGGUGGCGAAGGCGGUUCUCUGGGCCUUACCUGACGCUGAGGAGCGAAAGCAUGGGGGAGCAAACAGG
rnacentral:rRNA from 1 species